rnacentral:tRNA from 1 species
CAUUGAGAAGCUAAACUAGCKUUAACCUUUUAAGUUAAAGACCGAGAGCCAUGCCUCUCCUCAAUGG